AGAUUCCGAUGCAUCAAUCCGGAAGGCGUGCUGUUGAACGAUUGGCUCGAUGCUCAAAUACAAAGCCAGUGGUUUCAAAUUCAGGGACUUUCUGAACCAGGAAAACGGUAAAAUGCAAGAGGAAUCUAAAUUUCCAAGCAACUCAUCAAACUUCCAUCAUCCAACAUCCAAAAAGUUUUUGGCACCUCGGAUUACCAACUUUUUCAAGAACUUUUUCUUCCAGUAUGGCCAAGAUUGUGGAUUAUUUGUUGUAAAAACAGGAUAAUAAAAAUGUAUUGAUCAAAA